GACGUAGGGCGCGAGCGUUGUCCGGAUUUAUUGGGCGUAAAGAGCUCGUAGGUGGUUUGUCGCGUUGUCCGUGAAAACUCACAACUCAAUUGUGGGCGUGCGGGCGAUACGGGCAGACUGGAGUACUGCAGGGGAGACUGGAAUUCCUGGUGUAGCGGUGAAAUGCGCAGAUAUCAGGAGGAACACCGAUGGCGAAGGCAGGUCUCUGGGCCACUACUGACGCUGAGAAGCGAAAGCAUGGGGAGCGAACAGG
rnacentral:rRNA from 1 species